rnacentral:rRNA from 1 species
CUUACCAGGUCCGGACGCAGUGAGGAUUGACAGAUUGAUAGCUCUUUCUUGAUUCUGUGGGUGGUGGUGCAUGGCCGUUCUUAGUUGGUGGAGUGAUUUGUCUGGUUAAUUCCGAUAACGAACGAGACCUUAACCUGCUAAAUAGUUACGCCAAUUUUAUUGGUGUCGACUUCUUAGAGGGACUAUGUCACGUUGAGUGCAUGGAAGUUUGAGGCAAUAACAGGUCUGUGAUGCCCUUUAGAUGUUCUGGGCUGCACGCGCGUUACACUGAAAAUAUCAAUAAGUUUUAUAUAUCCAAACAAUUAUAUUUUAUAUAUUUGUUUUGAUAUGUCCUUGAUUGAAAAAUUUGGGUAAACUUGAUAACUAUUUUCGUGAUGGGGAUUGAUAAUUGUAAUUAUUUAUCAUGAACGAGGAAUACCUAGUAAACGCAAGUCAUUAACUUGCAUUGAUUACGUCCCUGUCCCUUUGUACACACCGCCCG